rnacentral:tRNA from 1 species
UGUCCUGUGGUGUAAUGGUAGCACUCCAGAUUCUGGCUCUGUCAGUGAGGGUUCGAAUCCUUCCAGGACAA